CCAGUGCACAAUGCUCCCACAAGUAAUAGGAUUGGGCAAAAUCAGAUUUACACAGCCGCUUUGCCUCUAUUAGAGAUGCUAGCAUUGAUAUAUACAGUUUCUUGAACAAACUUAUUUUAUCUAAAUGGUGUGAAUUUAAAUUAAACCUCGGAAACAAUUAGGCCUGACAAAAUAUGGUUAUGGGUUGGUUUUGAUUUUUAAAAU
rnacentral:lncRNA from 1 species